UCCUGCAUAUUGUCAAGCUGAGCCCCAGCAAAGCUCUGCUACGUCAGCUGCUGGACCUUGUGUGUGAGGGGAUUGAAGAGGGGGUGCUGAGGCACGCAGAGUCCCUGUGCAGAGCCCUGGAUGGAGAGCUGGACCUCAGUGAGACCAGGCUGGACCAGAAGGCCUGUGGAUCUCUGGCCCUGGUUCUGGAACACUCAGAGGGGCUGUCAGAACUGGACCUCAGCCACUGUCAACUCACAGACCACCACCUACAGGCCCUGAUCACACACCUGCACAAAGUACAAGUCCUGGACCUGAGUCAUAAUGACAUCACUGAUGCUCUGACUGACAGAAUACUCCAACUGGUCUCCACCAACACUUCAAUACACACCGUACGACUCUUCAACAACAGAAUCCAGGACAGAAGACCCUUCCUGACAGACAAGAGGUUUGAGAUCUGGUGAACAUAAUGUUGUAUAAUGACAGUAUAAUGUGGUCAAUGUAGAAGGCUGGUUUGAGAUCUGGUGAAGAUAAUGUUGUAUAAUGACAGUAUAAUGUGGUCAAUGUAUAUAAAAGGCUGUUUCAAAAUCACAUAAAAAUAGUCUUAGGGACAGGAAUGUAUCAUCUGGUGGACAGACGUCUUACAUGUGUUGUCACUCAGGUCCUUAAAAACACAGGAACAUGUGUAUUAUAACCGUAGGAUAGGAAUAUGUAGUUUUAUUUACCACUAACAGUUGAUACGUCUGUACUGUCAUUAAGAUCCUUAAAAACACAGGAACAUGUGUAUUAUAACUGUAGGAUAGGAAUAUGUAGUUUUAUUUACCACUAACAGUUGAUACGUCUGUACUGUCAUUAAGAUCCUUAAAAACACAGGAACAUGUGUAUUAUAACUGUUUUGUAUGUAUUGAACUACCUUUACUUUGUUGAAGCACCUUCAAUUUUGA